GCUCCAAUAGCAUAUAUUAAAGUUUGUUGUGGUUAAAAAGCUCGUAGUUGGAUCUCGGCGGGUGGGGGGCGGUUCGUUGUUUGACGCUACUGCCCCAUUUGCCGUGAUCUUUUGGCGGAGGUUCCAGGGUGCUCUUAAUCGAGUGUCCUGGGAUGCCGUCAGGUUUACUUUGAAAAAAUUAGAGUGCUCAAGCAGGCUUG
rnacentral:rRNA from 1 species